ACAAGAAAAUGAAAAAAAUAAAAAAAAUAAACAAGUAAACAAAGUAAAUAAAGAAGAAGAAGAAAGAAACAAUGCCAUAACAUUUCCUCUACCCCAAUUUUAGUUGUCCUUUAUUUACUGGAUCAUAACUAAAUAUUCAGGAAAGUCAUUCUAUCUCUUUUUUCCUUUCUGUAAUUGGAUAUUUUCUUUUUGAGGAAUAACUACAGCUUGAAAAUAUUGCUCCUUCCAGAGCCACAAUGAGGAGAGGAAAUGCUGGGUGUUCAUUGCGAAAUCUGAUUUAUGGAAUUUAAGGCCAAGUUUCCAUCAGGAAAAACAGAAUUGAUUCAUUUAUUUCUGCUGAUAUUUAAAAUUUUCCACACAUUUCUUCUGCACAACAUCUCAGGGAUUCAGACCCAAAGGAAAAGAAGGAAUAUUUGGGGGUUAAACCCCAAAUUGACACCAGAGUUGGGCCACUUCAGUCACAUCCUGGGCUUUUAGGAACGGAGCUGGGGCAGAGGAGCAGCCCUGAAUUCCUGCUGGGAGCCUGAGGAUGCAGCUGGACCCUGGAUCCUGCCCUGGGGACACUCAGGGAUCCUUCAGCUGAUGUUUCCCACCUGCUCAAAACUCUGCUGCUCCUCAGGGAGCUCAGAAUUGUCUAAAAAAGACAAAAAAAUGCUGAUUUCCUUAUUUAGAUAGCUCAGAAUUGUCUAAAAAGGA